rnacentral:rRNA from 1 species
GACGAACGCUGGCGGCGUGCCUAAUACAUGCAAGUAGAACGCUGAAGAGAGGAGCUUGCUCUUCUUGGAUGAGUUGCGAACGGGUGAGUAACGCGUAGGUAACCUGCCUUGUAGCGGGGGAUAACUAUUGGAAACGAUAGCUAAUACCGCAUAACAAUGGAUGACACAUGUCAUUUAUUUGAAAGGGGCAAUUGCUCCACUACAAGAUGGACCUGCGUUGUAUUAGCUAGUAGGUGAGGUAACGGCUCACCUAGGCGACGAUACAUAGCCGACCUGAGAGGGUGAUCGGCCACACUGGGGCUGAGACACGGCCCAGACUCCUACGGGAGGCAGCAGUAGGGAAUCUUCGGCAAUGGGGGCAACCCUGACCGAGCAACGCCGCGUGAGUGAAGAAGGUUUUCGGAUCGUAAAGCUCUGUUGUAAGUCAAGAACGAGUGUGAGAGUGGAAAGUUCACACUGUGACGGUAGCUUACCAGAAAGGGACGGCUAACUACGUG